rnacentral:tRNA from 1 species
GCGGGGGUAGCCAAGCCAGGUCAACGGCGCCGGCCUCAAGAGCCGGUCCCGCAGGGGUUCGUGGGUUCGAAUCCCACCCCCCGCA